GGGGAUGUUAUGGAUUCGACAGGUAUAGGUCGAGCUUAGACUGCGUUUGGUAGGUUACGACUACCUUAAAACGUUCAGUUAAAUAUAACUGCAAAAAAUAACAAUUCUUACGCUGUAGCUGCUUAAUAACAGCUUAGUGUAGAUCCGGCUGACAUCGUCCAUGUGUCGGGUUCCGGGUCCUAUAAUUAGUGGACUUACGCUCAAGGCUGCCAACUGAAGCUGCGAGAAGAGACUAAUCAGAAUAGCUAUUAGGGGUUGCCCUGUUAUAUGGCGUGCCUAAUAGUGAAAUUUAAAUAGUAUAACUAUGAGCGUAGAUGUUUAAGUUACGAUAUGCUUGGACGCGGGUUCGACUCCCGCCAUCUCCAUCA
rnacentral:tmRNA from 1 species